rnacentral:rRNA from 1 species
UCCUACGGGAGGCAGCAGUGGGGAAUAUUGGACAAUGGGGGCAACCCUGAUCCAGCCAUGCCGCGUGUGUGAAGAAGGCCCUCGGGUUGUAAAGCACUUUCAGCGAGGAAGAACGCCUAGCGGUUAAUACCCGCUAGGAAAGACAUCACUCGCAGAAGAAGCACCGGCUAACUCCGUGCCAGCAGCCGCGGUAAUACGGAGGGUGCAAGCGUUAAUCGGAAUUACUGGGCGUAAAGCGCGCGUAGGUGGCUUGAUAAGCCGGUUGUGAAAGCCCCGGGCUCAACCUGGGAACGGCAUCCGGAACUGUCAAGCUAGAGUGCAGGAGAGGAAGGUAGAAUUCCCGGUGUAGCGGUGAAAUGCUUAGAGAUCGGGAGGAAUACCAGUGGCGAAGGCGGCCUUCUGGACUGACACUGACACUGAGGUGCGAAAGCGUGGGUAGCAAACAGGAUUAGAUACCCUGGUAGUCCACGCCGUAAACGAUGUCGACCAGCCGUUGGGUGCCUAGCGCACUUUGUGGCGAAGUUAACGCGAUAAGUCGACCGCCUGGGGAGUACGGCCGCAAGGUUAAAACUCAAAUGAAUUGACGG